UUUCUUCGGAAUGAAGUUUUAGUGACUGAGUGGCGGACGGGUGAGUAACGCGUGGAUAACCUGCCUCACACUGGGGGAUAACAGUUAGAAAUGGCUGCUAAUACCGCAUAAGCGCACAGUACCGCAUGGUACAGUGUGAAAAACUCCGGUGGUGUGAGAUGGACCCGCGUCUGAUUAGCUAGUUGGCAGGGCAACGGCCUACCAAGGCGACGAUCAGUAGCCGACCUGAGAGGGUGACCGGCCACAUUGGGACUGAGACACGGCCCAAACUCC
rnacentral:rRNA from 1 species